rnacentral:rRNA from 1 species
GUAAGGAAUAUUGGUCAAUGGACGAAAGUCUGAACCAGCCAUGCCGCGUGAAGGAUGAAGGCCCUCUGGGUUGUAAACUUCUUUUAUCUGGGACGAAAAAAGGGUAUUCUUACUCACUUGACGGUACCAGAGGAAUAAGCACCGGCUAACUCCGUGCCAGCAGCCGCGGUAAUACGGAGGGUGCAAGCGUUAUCCGGAUUCACUGGGUUUAAAGGGUGCGUAGGUGGGUAUUUAAGUCAGUGGUGAAAUCUCCGAGCUUAACUCGGAAACUGCCAUUGAUACUAUUUACCUUUAAUGCCCUUGAGGUAAGCGGAAUAUGUCAUGUAGCGGUUAAAUGCUUAGAUAUGACAUAGAACACCAAUUGCGAAGGCAGCUUACUACGGGGUGAUUGACACUGAGGCACGAAAGCGUGGGGAGCAAACAGGAUUAGAUACCCCAGUAGUCC